rnacentral:rRNA from 1 species
CCUACGGGUGGCAGCAGUGAGGAAUAUUGGUCAAUGGACGCGACUCUGAACCAGCCAAGUAGCGUGCAGGAUGACGGCCCUAUGGGUUGUAAACUUCUUUUAUACAGGAAUAAAGUGAGUCACGUGUGGCUUAUUGCAGGUACCUCAUGAAUAAGGACCGGCUAAUUCCGUGCCAGCAGCCGCGGUAAUACGGAGGGUCCGAGCGUUAUCCGGAUUUAUUGGGUUUAAAGGGAGCGCAGGAGGCAUGUUAAGCCCGCCGUGAAAGGCCGUGGCUCAACCAUGGCACUGCGGCGCGUACUGGCUGGCUUGAGUGCGCUGAACGUAGGCGGAAUUCGUGGUGUAGCGGUGAAAUGCUUAGAUAUCACGAAGAACUCCGAUUGCGAAGGCAGCCUACGGCAGCGCCACUGACGCUGAUGCUCGAAGGUGCGGGUAUCGAACAGGAUUAGAUACCCGUGUAGUC